CCAAAUCGCAAGGAUUAUCUUCAAUAAUAGAAGUCAUCACGGUGUGUGCUGCAAAUCCUGUGGUCCUAUCUUCAAUAAUAUAAAGAAUGUUGAAGGAUCAGACGUUGUGUUGGAAGCGAUACUUGAAGCAGAGGUAGCACGCAAUGCCAAAGAUUUCUUUUCACAGCCUGCAAUUCAAAUACAGUGAAAUGAGAAGGUGAUUGAUCGAGCUUGCUCCUAAAUAUUGUUUAACUAAACACCUCUCCGGCAUGAUCAGCUGAAAGAUGAACAUGCUCUUUCCUUGUUGAGAAAUGGAGGAGAAUAUGUAGGGAUUAGUUUUGAGAGAAUUACCGGCUACAAUGAGGGCUGCACUGGUUUGUUUGUUACAAAAAAUAUAACGGGGGUCAUGGGAGAGGAAUAGUAUUGGGUCAAGACUGGGCUCAAAAGUAAAGCCCAGAUUGAACUCUUCUGAGUUGGGUUGGCUUGUUCUAAUACUGGGUUUGGACAAGGCCAUUACCCACUAGGGCCAUGCCCUUUAUUUGUUGAAGUAUGUAAAUGAAAUGUUAAUAUUUUCAUCAAA